rnacentral:lncRNA from 1 species
UGCGGACCACCUCCAGGAUGCUGGCCGCCAGGUCCACCACCACCUGGCUCCAUGCCACCAGGCUGGCCACCUGGUCCACCACCUCCUGGCUCCAUGCCACCGGGAUGCCCACCUGGCUCUAUGGGCUGGCCACCUGGUUCCAUGCCACCGGGCUGGCCACAGCAACCAGGUGGCCCUGGUAAUCCUGGAACGUCUCCUAGCAAUCCAAACCCUCCGACUAAACCUCCAUCUGAACCAUCACCCGGUAAUCCUGGAAAGCCACCUGCUAAUCCAGAUCCUCCAACAGACCAAACAAAACCUCCAACUAAACCUGAAGGACCUGACGGUUCUGAUGAAGUGAAACCUCUGACCGGGCCGAAUCCUAGUGGCUAUGAUGAAGUGAAACCUCCGACCGGGCCGAAGCCUAGUGGCUAUGAUGAAGUGAAACCUCCCACUGGUCCGAAUCCCGGCGAAAACUCUGAUCCACCACUCUACUAGACAAAAGAGUCAAAUGUGACCAACGUCUAUAAAGUUCGAAUCAGAAGUUAAUAAUGUCAUUACAAUUAGUUCUUGUUGAUGAUUCAUAAGCCACAAAAGGAGCAGACAAAGCUAUGAAAAUGUAAUGUAGGCGGAAACAUAGGAACAGAAAACAAGAAUUCUGACGUAUGCAUACCCAUUGCUCGGAACAAUAAGCUAGACACUUCAACUCCAUUUAACAUAUCUGACUUAAGAGAUAGAGAGAAAUCGAAAUGCAAACUUGC